CCUACGGGAGGCUGCAGUGGGGAAUAUUGGACAAUGGGCGAAAGCCUGAUCCAGCCAUGCCGCGUGUGUGAAGAAGGCCUUCGGGUUGUAAAGCACUUUCAGUGGGGAAGAAAGCCUUGGGGCUAAUACCCUCGAGGAAGGACAUCACCCACAGAAGAAGCACCGGUUAACUCCGUGCCAGCAGCCGCGGUAAUACGGAGGGUGCGAGCGUUAAUCGGAAUUACUGGGCGUAAAGCGCGCGUAGGCGGUCUGAUAAGCCGGUUGUGAAAGCCCCGGGCUCAACCUGGGAACGGCAUCCGGAACUGUCAGGCUAGAGUGCAGGAGAGGAAGGUAGAAUUCCCGGUGUAGCGGUGAAAUGCGUAGAGAUCGGGAGGAAUACCAGUGGCGAAGGCGGCCUUCUGGACUGACACUGACGCUGAGGUGCGAAAGCGUGGGUAGCAAACAGGAUUAGAUACCCGAGUAGUC
rnacentral:rRNA from 1 species